rnacentral:rRNA from 1 species
AACGAACGCUGGCGGCAGGCCUAACACAUGCAAGUCGAACGCACCGCAAGGUGAGUGGCGCACGGGUGAGUAACACGUGGGAAUGUACCCUUUGGUUCGGAAUAACGUUUGGAAACGAACGCUAAUACCGGAUGAGCCCUGUGGGGGAAAGAUUUAUCGCCAAAGGAGCAGCCCGCGUCUGAUUAGCUAGUUGGUGGGGUAAAGGCCUACCAAGGCGACGAUCAGUAGCUGGUCUGAGAGGAUGAUCAGCCACACUGGGACUGAGACACGGCCCAGACUCCUACGGGAGGCAGCAGUGGGGAAUAUUGGACAAUGGGCGGAAGCCUGAUCCAGCCAUGCCGCGUGGGUGAUGAAGGCCUUCGGGUUGUAAAGCUCUUUCGCACGCGACGAUGAUGACGGUAGCGUGAGAAGAAGCCCCGGCUAACUUCGUGCCAGCAGCCGCAGUAA